rnacentral:misc_RNA from 1 species
UUUCCGUAGGUGAACCUGCGGAAGGAUCAUUAAUGAAUAUUAGGGUGCUGUCUCUUCAUCAGAGCAGGCCCGACCCUUCAUUCUCCAACACUGUGAACUAUUACUAGGCGAAAGUCCUGAAAGGGAUGACUAGCCGCCCAUUUUAAACUCUAACAAGUCUAAGAAUGUAAACAAACCAUAACAAAGAAAAACUUUCAACAACGGAUCUCUUGGCUCUCGCAUCGAUGAAGAACGCAGC